rnacentral:rRNA from 1 species
AUUGAACGCUGGCGGCAGGCCUAACACAUGCAAGUCGAGCGGAUGAAGGGAGCUUGCUCCUGGAUUCAGCGGCGGACGGGUGAGUAAUGCCUAGGAAUCUGCCUGGUAGUGGGGGAUAACGUCCGGAAACGGGCGCUAAUACCGCAUACGUCCUGAGGGAGAAAGUGGGGGAUCUUCGGACCUCACGCUAUCAGAUGAGCCUAGGUCGGAUUAGCUAGUUGGUGGGGUAAAGGCCUACCAAGGCGACGAUCCGUAACUGGUCUGAGAGGAUGAUCAGUCACACUGGAACUGAGACACGGUCCAGACUCCUACGGGAGGCAGCAGUGGGGAAUAUUGGACAAUGGGCGAAAGCCUGAUCCAGCCAUGCCGCGUGUGUGAAGAAGGUCUUCGGAUUGUAAAGCACUUUAAGUUGGGAGGAAGGGCAGUAAGUUAAUACCUUGCUGUUUGGACGUGACCAACAGAAUAAGCACCGGCUAACUUCGU